AUUGAACGCUGGCGGCAGGCCUAACACAUGCAAGUCGAGCGGAGCGGCGGACGGGUGAGUCAUGCCUAGGAAUCUGCCUGGUAGUGGGGGAUAACGUCCGGAAACGGGCGCUAAUACCGCAUACUAUCAGAUGAGCCUAGGUCGGAUUAGCUAGUGGGGGGGGUAAAGGCCUACCAAGGCGACGAUCCGUUACUGGUCUGAGAGGAUGAUCAGUCACACUGGAACUGAGACACGGUCCAGACUCCUACGGUAGGCAGCAGUGGGGAAUGUGGGACAAUGGGCGAAAGCCUGAUCCAGCCAUGCAGCGUGUGUGAAGAAGGUCUUCGGAGUGUAAAGCACUUUAAGUUGGGAGGCGUUACCAACAGAAUAAGCACCGGCUAACUACGUGCCAGCAGCCGCGGUAAUAC
rnacentral:rRNA from 1 species